CCACAACUCCAAGUCCUGAAAAUAAAAGGUUUAAGAAAAGCACGACGAAUAGAAUUAGCAUAAAAUGCUAAGUAAGUUCUACUCCGCCCUGUAAAAAUACAUACAUUUAUACUUUUCAAAAUAGAUAUACUUUGUAAAUAGGUUUUGAAAUCAUUUCAUCAAAGAAUUUGCCUCACAC